CCCUUAGAUGUUCUGGGCAGCACGCGCGCUACAAUGGUCUUCGCAAACGGAUGCAUUCUCGAAGGAGAAUGCCAAUCUUGGAAUCUAUGCCUUGGUCGGGACAGUUGCUUGCAAUUUUUCGACUCGAACCAGGAAUUCCUUGUAAUCGUGAUUCAUCACAUCACGAUGAAUACGUCCCUGCCCUUUGUACACACCGCCCGUCGCACCUACCGAUUGAAUGACUCGGUGAAAAAUUGGGACUGUGAUUGAAAUUGCUUCAUUGCGAAUUUAAUCAUGGAAACUUUCUUUAACCUAGGCAUUUAGAGGAAGGUGAAGUCGUAACA
rnacentral:rRNA from 1 species